CGGGACGGGUGAGUAAUGUCUGGGAAACUGCCUGAUGGAGGGGGGUAACUACUGGAAACGGUAGCUAAUACCGCAUAACGUCGCAAGACCAAAGAGGGGGACCUUCGGGCCUCUUGCCAUCGGAUGUGCCCAGAUGGGAUUAGCUAUAGGUGGGGUAACGGCUCACCUAGGCGACGAUCCCUAGCUGGUCUGAGAGGAUGACCAGCCACACUGGAACUGAGACACGGUCCAG
rnacentral:rRNA from 1 species